rnacentral:rRNA from 1 species
AACUGCGAAUGGCUCAUUAAAUCAGUUAUCGUUUAUUUGAUAGUACCUUACUACUUGGAUAACCGUGGUAAUUCUAGAGCUAAUACAUGCUAAAAACCCCGACUUCGGAAGGGGUGUAUUUAUUAGAUAAAAAACCAAUGCCCUUCGGGGCUCCUUGGUGAUUCAUAAUAACUUAACGAAUCGCAUGGCCUUGUGCCGGCGAUGGUUCAUUCAAAUUUCUGCCCUAUCAACUUUCGAUGGUAGGAUAGUGGCCUACCAUGGUUUCAACGGGUAACGGGGAAUUAGGGUUCUAUUCCGGAGAGGGAGCCUGAGAAACGGCUACCACAUCCAAGGAAGGCAGCAGGCGCGCAAAUUACCCAAUCCCGACACGGGGAGGUAGUGACAAUAAAUACUGAUACAGGGCUCUUUUGGGUCUUGUAAUUGGAAUGAGUACAAUUUAAAUCCCUUAACGAGGAACAAUUGGAGGGCAAGUCUGGUGCCAGCAGCCGCGGUAAUUCCAGCUCCAAUAGCGUAUAUUAAAGUUGUUGCAGUUAAAAAGCUCGUAGUUGAACCUUGGGCCUGGCUGGCCGGUCCGCCUCACCGCGUGCACUGGUCCGGCCGGGUCUUUCCUUCUGGGGAGCCGCAUGCCCUUCACUGGGUGUGUCGGGGAACCAGGACUUUUACUUUGAAAAAAUUAGAGUGUUCAAAGCAGGCCUAUGCUCGAAUACAUUAGCAUGGAAUAAUAGAAUAGGACGUGUGGUUCUAUUUUGUUGGUUUCUAGGACCGCCGUAAUGAUUAAUAGGGAUAGUCGGGGGCAUCAGUAUUCAAUUGUCAGAGGUGAAAUUCUUGGAUUUAUUGAAGACUAACUACUGCGAAAGCAUUUGCCAAGGAUGUUUUCAUUAAUCAGUGAACGAAAGUUAGGGGAUCGAAGACGAUCAGAUACCGUCGUAGUCUUAACCAUAAACUAUGCCGACUAGGGAUCGGGCGAUGUUAUCUUUUUGACUCGCUCGGCACCUUACGAGAAAUCAAAG